rnacentral:rRNA from 1 species
GGAAACUGCUGAUAAUACCGGAUAAGGUCAUUAAGCUGCAUAGCUUAGUGAUGAAAGGAGACGCCUGCGGACAGCCUUGCGUCCUAUUAGCUAGUUGGAGGGGUAACGGCCCACCAAGGCGAAGAUAGGUAGCCGGCCUGAGAGGGUGGACGGCCACAAGGGGACUGAGAUACGGCCCUUACUCCUACGGGAGGCAGCAGUGGGGAAUAUUGGACAAUGGGGGCAACCCUGAUCCAGCAAUUCUGUGUGCACGAAGACGGUUUUCGGAUUGUAAAAUGCUUUCAGCAGGGAAGAAGGAAGUGACGGUACCUGCAGAAGAAGCGACGGCUAAAUACGUGCCAGCAGCCGCGGUAAUACGUAUGUCGCGAGCGUUAUCCGGAAUUAUUGGGCAUAAAGGGCAUCUAGGCGGCCUGUUAAGUCAGCGGCGAAAUCUAGGAGCUUAACUCCUAAAUUGCCAUUGAUACUGGCGGGCUUGAGUGUAGAUGAGGUAGGCGGAAUGCGUGGUGUAGCGGUGGAAUGCAUAGAUAUC